GUGCUCACUUCAGCAGCACAUAUACUAAAACUGGAAUGAUACAGAGAAGAUUAGCAUGGCCCUGCACAAGGAUGACAUGGAAGAAAGGGCAAAUGAUACCUAUAAUU
rnacentral:snRNA from 1 species